UUUUGGUACAUUUGCGAUUUUUGAUGGUGUUUGGCUACUGUUAAAUGAAGCCCGUCUAAUAGCAGCAGGUAAACGAAAGCCCAUUUUAAAUGUGUCAAAGAACAAAGUAAAGCUCUCAAAUUCAAGAAAACUGUAUGUAUCUUUUGAUCUUGCGAAUGACUUGUGGUUUCUAUGAAGGAAAAUAGCGUAUUUAUAGUCUUCAAGAGUUUAUUGAAAUCCAAUUUUUUUGAGAAAUAAUUGUUAAAGAAUGGGGUCCAUGAGAUGAGAGAUCAUAUGGUAUUUUCCUGGAUGUCUCUUUAUAUUAAGGAUCAACAACUUCAAUAAGAGUGUUAAUAUAAUAUGCCCCACCUUCUAAAUGAAAGGCUAAUAGAUUACCCUCUUGGAAGUCAAAUGUGAUGGCUCGGUUAAACUUAAUGCUUGGUUUAUGCAUACUCAUAUUUUUGUAGACAUCCAUUAGACAUGUCACAUGUUUUCUCCGUAUUGUUAACGCGGCUCAAUGCUGACAUAUAGCUAGAUACCACAAUUCUAUUGUAGUAAUUAUAAGGUAGAUAAUGGGUUGUUGGCUACAAAUCAUAAAUGUUAGGAAGCAACAGAGAACCUUGAUCUCAGGCUUGGUCGUUACUCAUGGUUACCAGAAGAUUUUUUUUUUUGACUCAUGGUUACCGAAAGAUAGCAAGUGGAUUACAAUCCAGAAGAAAGUAAUUUAAGUUUUGACCCAAACUAGUAGUACAAAAAUACACUAUUCUGAAAAUUGAAUUUCAACAGUCCUAUAUGUAUAUAAUUGCAGUUUUUUGAAGAAAGUCCAGCAACAACUGCUUUGCCAAGAUUUUAAGGUGGAUUAUACCUCAACUUAAAAUUGUGUCGAUUGAUGACCUUUUUUUACUGCAUAAAAGAAUGAUUAGCUUGUUGAACCUUGAUUGAUGAAAAUCUGUUAACAAUUGAGGGGAACAAUGAAGUUGUUGUAUUUUAAUGUUGCGUAACUUUUUUGGUUUCCUCUAGAUAAGUUGGUAAGAGAUAAGAUAUAGAGUCAUGAAUAAAAGGCCAACAGGAAACAGCAGGCUAAGCAAGAGAUCAUGGCCUAGUUUAGAAUUUAGAUUAGUUUCUAGCUUUUAGGAACUUUCCAAUCUUCAAUUGAGAUGACUAUUUGGUUCUUAUCAAACAAAAAACAAACUUUUAAAUGGUAUUAAAUGCUUUUUAUAUUCUUAAUAUAUAUAUAUAUAUAUAAAUAUUUUCUUUCAAUAAAAAAUCAAAAUGAAAUGAAUAUUGGGUUUUCUCAUAGGUGAAUGCUUCAUCUUACAAAACCAGUCCUCCUCUGCAUGGCUAUCAAUACUUGAGUUUAUAAUAUCUAUAUUGACUUGAAAUUCAUGUUUUACUGCUGUUCUAUUUGUAGAUUAUGGCUGGACACAGAAUUGGCAAUGGAAGACUAUUCAUAAUUGUGUCAAGAAUUUGAAAAACAUGAACUCUAUAUUAUUUGAUGGGUUUAGCUUCUGUUUUAGGUGCUAAUAAGUUUAAUUGUGUUUAUAGUGCUAAUACAUGCUCUGUGCAGACACUGUUUAGUCAUGGAAUUCAACUCCUUAAACAUGUGAACUGCAAAUUUUUGUUGUCUAGUCACUCUCUUUACCAAAUGCAGGGAGAUUAUGACAAUCUUUUGAUUAGGAAAAUACAUAAUAUACAUUUUUAUGAAUAGUGGAGGAAGCUGCUAGGAACUCAGUAAAGGGUUGCCGCUAAAUGCGUGCUUUCUGACAACAACUUCAAACGACAAGUCCAUGUGAAGAGCACAGGAAGUCCUUGUGAUUGUGGUCUCCACCACCUUCUUCAAAUACCACAAGAAAAAUAAAUGUACAAAUUAAUUGGUGACUAAGGUGUUGAUUUAUGUGAUCAGUUAUCGGUCUAUUCCUUUCUUCAUUUGUAUUUCACUUCUACCGACUUGCUUCUAGAAUUCUAUCAUGAGCCAAUCAAGUUGAGAAUAUUUAUAGAUUAAAGAAAGUUUUUUCUUUCAAGAUUUAUUUGUUUGAGUUUUGUUGUGUGGCCUCAUAAGAUAUCCAAAAGAAUUACCAGGCAUGCAUUACCACAUAUAUUAUGUGAUAGACAAUUUCCUUAAAAUUGGUG
rnacentral:lncRNA from 1 species